UGGGGAAUAUUGCACAAUGGGCGCAAGCCUGAUGCAGCCAUGCCGCGUGUGUGAAGAAGGCCUUCGGGUUGUAAAGCACUUUCAGCGGGGAGGAAGGCGGUGAGGUUAAUAACCUCAUCGAUUGACGUUACCCGCAGAAGAAGCACCGGCUAACUCCGUGCCAGCAGCCGCGGUAAUACGGAGGGUGCAAGCGUUAAUCGGAAUUACUGGGCGUAAAGCGCACGCAGGCGGUCUGUCAAGUCGGAUGUGAAAUCCCCGGGCUCAACCUGGGAACUGCAUUCGAAACUGGCAGGCUAGAGUCUUGUAGAGGGCGGUAGAAUUCCAGGUGUAGCGGUGAAAUGCGUAGAGAUCUGGAGGAAUACCGGUGGCGAAGGCGGCCCCCUGGACAAAGACUGACGCUCAGGUGCGAAAGCGUGGGGAGCAAACAGG
rnacentral:rRNA from 1 species